rnacentral:sRNA from 1 species
AUAGACAGACAGACCAGGAAAAGAGUGGCAUGUGGCUGGCGGUGGGAUUUAGAGAACCAGGGCUGUGAUGCUUCUUAGGCACAAGGAGACCAUGUGUAAAACAUUAGCUAACAGCAGGUGUCAACCUAAGUGUAUGACCAGUCCAGACCCAAUCAAUAUCCCUCACGCACCCUUCGACCUUUACAUUUUCUGGCCAUAAGCAACAGCAACUAAAAUAUCCCAAACCUCAUCCAGCCAUGGUCCAGACAGUGGGCUCCAGGUCUCCUUCCUGCCGAAAUGCGACAGAGCCACUCUCGUUAGCAUGCUCUUCUCAGCCGUGAUUCAUGUUCUUCUGGGAGAAAAAAAUGUAUGUGCUCAAAAGACAGAAACUUGCUCUCAUUAUCACUUCAUAAGGAUCCCUGGGCCAGAAUACAGAGCUACAGACAUAGAUUUGUGCUCAACUCACAAGCUCCUUCUCCUCAGCUAUCUUCACUGAAAAUUCUGUGUUCGUUUAACUAGCAAGGAGAAUGGAGACAGGAAGUCACUUACGGAGGUGUGUGGACGGUCGACACAUUUACAUUUCUAUCCUGACCUGCUAAUACACAACCUGGAGUUGUGGGGCAAGAGCUGCCUUCAACCCAAACACUCAUUUUCACCACAGAUUCUGCACCCGAAGACAACAGCAAAGUUUUUCUUUCUUCCCUUCGAAGAUCUAAGGGUCAUGGUUCAGCUGACCACACAGCGAUCAGCAACCUGCCUUUUUCAAGUUCCAUCCACAGUCUACGGUUUAAGCCAUGCCGUGAUUAACCCUGACACGUGGCCUCUUCUCCAGAAAACCCUUCCAGGCUGCAGACAAGUCUGUCUUACUCAAUUAAAUACUGGCUGCCUGGAUCCGGAUUUGGCCGGAAGCUACCCUAAAGGACUUGAUGUUGAAAGAAGACUGUCUUUGGGGGGAAGGUAGACGUUUCCCGUGUGUAAAAGUUGCUUUGUGUUACAUUGUCUUACAUUGUCUUUUGUUCA